AGUGAACGCUGGCGGUAGGCCUAACACAUGCAAGUCGAACGGCAGCACAGUAAGAGCUUGCUCGUACGGGUGGCGAGUGGCGGACGGGUGAGGAAUACAUCGGAAUCUACUUUUUCGUGGGGGAUAACGUAGGGAAACUUACGCUAAUACCGCAUACGGGCUACGGGUGAAAGCAGGGGAUCUUCGGACCUUGCGCGAGUGAAUGAGCCGAUGUCGGAUUAGCUAGUUGGCGGGCGAGAGGCCCACCAAGGCGACUGUCCUUAGCUCGUCUGAGAGGAUGAUCAGCCACCCUGGAACUGAGACACGGUCGCGACUCCUACGGGAGGCAGCAGUGGGGAAUCUUGGACAAUGGGCGAAAGCCUGAUCCAGCACUACCGCGUGAGUCAAGAAGGCCUUCGGGUUGUAAAGCCCUUUUGUUGGGAAAGAAAAGCAGCAGGUUCAUCCCCCGCUGUUCUGACGGUACCAAAAGAAUAAGCACCGGCUAACUUCGUG
rnacentral:rRNA from 1 species